rnacentral:tRNA from 1 species
GCUCGCAUGAUGGAAUAGGUAGACAUAACAGACUUAAAAUCUGUGGCCAUAUGGCGUCCCGGUUCGAGUCCGGGUGCGAGUACCA